GGUUUGACUGCCUCCAGGCCACCAAGAUACACAGACAAGCUGGGAUUCAGUUUGCAAGACCCAGUUUCCAUCCCCCACUGGUGCCAACAGCUUGCUGUAUUCAUAACCCUCUGGAUUCCUUCAGAGGAAGCCAGUUAUCUGCUAGACUUCCUUUGCUCUUCAAGACUCUAUCUUGGCAUCUCUGCCAAGGACAUGUUUUGGCUGGAUCCACUCCUCUGGCCUCUGCACAUCUCUGGAAAGCUGAGCUACAAGAAACAUAGCCCAGGAAGUAGAAAGAGAAAGGAGGUGGUUGUCUGUUUAAACACAGGAUCCUACAAGAGGAAUGUGCUCCAGGGACCAGGUGCCCAUUGGACCAGUGACCAGCAUCUUCCCAAGACUGUUCUGUUGCUGCUGCUGCUGCUAAAUUGCUUCAGUCGUGUCCAACCCUGUGCGACCCCAUAGAUGGCACCCCACAAGGCUCUUCUGUCCCUGGGAUUCUCCAGGCAAGAAUACUGGAGUGGGUUGCCAUUUCCUUCUCCAACGCUUUAAUGCAUGCUAAGUUGCUUCAGUCGUGUCUGACUCUAUACAACCCCAUGGACAGCAGCCCACCAGGCUCCUCUGUCCAUGGGAUUCUCUAGGCAAGAAUACUGGAGUGGGUUGCCAUUUCCUUCUCCACUCUGAGCUGCACUCAGCCUUUGUAGAGACUAGAGUAAGAACAUGUGAGCCUUCUUGGGAUCUCUGGUUAACUCCACUCUGUGCAAUAGGAGAGCUGGUAGAGCCCCAUGGACUGUAGCCCACCAAUCUCCUCUGUCCAUGGGAUUUCCCAGGCAAGAAUACUGGAGUGAGUUCCCAUGUCCUUCUCCAGGGCAUCUUCCCAUGGAUGAUAGAACUCACGUCUCCUACAUGGCAGGCAGAUGCUUUUACCACUGAGCCGCCAGGAAACCUGGAUCAGCAGUGGUGGAAUUUUCCAGUGGAUUCCAAGUCCCAUGAAGAGAGGCUUGGGAACCUGUACUCUUCUGGGUGCCUGGAAAAAGUGCUCACCAGUGACUAUGAAGCAAUAGAUUUGCAGUCUGAGCCCUGCUUCCUUCACCAGGUCUUGAUUGGUAUGUCUUUCUAAAGGCCAUGAGGUUCUGCUUUCAAGGAUGGUCAGUCAGAGGUGGCACUUUGCUUCCAGCAGAGUCCAUGGAUCCUCAGAGAACUGUUUUUUACUGACUAAAGAAAUGGUAGGAUUCCUUGGUGGCUCAGACAGUAAAGAAUCUGCCUGCAAUGCAGAAGACAUGGGAGACUUAGGGUCGAUCCCUAGGUUGGGAAGAUCCCCUAGAGAAGGGAAUGGUAACCCAUUCCAGCAUUCUUGCCUGGAGAACCCCACGCACAAAGGAGCCUGUGGGUCUACAGUCCAUGAGGUCGCAAAGAGUCGGACAAGACUGACUAAGGACACAAAGAAAUGGGAAGUCAGCUUUCAAAAUGAGAAGAAACUCUAAGAAGAACAGUGAGGAUGCAAGGUUUCCCAAACUGUCUCCCUUCCCACCCGCUACCCGCCUCCUCCCCAACCCAAACACAUACUGCACCUUUCUCCAAAACUCAAAUCCAUCUUGUGUAAGCAGACUGGGAAUGUCUAACUUCAGAGGGAGAGCUAAUCCAGACUAUGGCAUCAAUUCUCCCAGCCAUGUUCAUAGAACAGGGAUUAGGGGUCUUAAAGCACAGCAGAACUGGAGCAGAUUUGGCAAAUCAUUCAUCUGUCCAGGUAAGACCUGAUAAUGCUAUCAUCAGACACUGCCUAAUUUACAGAGUGGGUUGACUGAAUGGAAUCAGAAAUCAGUUCUCUGAAUUAAAUUUUUUUUGCUGCCACUCCUUUGACUCUGCUUUGUGUGUGUGUGUGCUUAAGUUUCUUCCUUUAUAAAAUAUGAUUAUAAAUGCUAACCUCAUGGGGCUUUCUAAAGGAUCAAAUGAAGUGUUUUAAGGUGUUUAACAAGGAAAGUUGACUGGUGUUAUUUAUUACUCGGUCUUAAAGGAAAGUCUACUUUUCCUCCAUACAAGGAUGGAUUGAUCUCGCAACUGAGAGUGAUCUUGCCUUUCU
ensembl:lncRNA